rnacentral:piRNA from 1 species
UGAUAGAAAUUAUUGUGGGA